rnacentral:rRNA from 1 species
AGUGAACGCUGGCGGUAGGCCUAACACAUGCAAGUCGAACGGCAGCACAGUAAGAGCUUGCUCUUACGGGUGGCGAGUGGCGGACGGGUGAGGAAUACAUCGGAAUCUACUUUUUCGUGGGGGAUAACGUAGGGAAACUUACGCUAAUACCGCAUACGACCUACGGGUGAAAGCAGGGGAUCUUCGGACCUUGCGCGAUUGAAUGAGCCGAUGUCGGAUUAGCUAGUUGGCGGGGUAAAGGCCCACCAAGGCGACGAUCCGUAGCUGGUCUGAGAGGAUGAUCAGCCACACUGGAACUGAGACACGGUCCAGACUCCUACGGGAGGCAGCAGUGGGGAAUAUUGGACAAUGGGCGCAAGCCUGAUCCAGCCAUGCCGCGUGGGUGAAGAAGGCCUUCGGGUUGUAAAGCCCUUUUGUUGGGAAAGAAAAACAGCGGGUUAAUACCCCGCUGUUCUGACGGUACCCAAAGAAUAAGCACCGGCUAACUUCGUG